rnacentral:rRNA from 1 species
UACAGAGGGGGCGAGCGUUGUUCGGAAUUACUGGGCGUAAAGGGCGCGUAGGCGGCCACCGCAAGUCGACUGUGAAAUCUCCGGGCUUUAACCCGGAAAGGUCAGCCGAUACUGCGGGGCUAGAGUGCAGAAGGGGCAACUGGAAUUCUCGGUGUAGCGGUGAAAUGCGUAGAUAUCGAGAGGAACACCUGCGGCGAAGGCGGGUUGCUGGGCUGACACUGACGUGAGGCGCGAAAGCUAGGGGGAGCGAACGGG